rnacentral:rRNA from 1 species
GUCUACACUCAUGCCACCCUGAGCAAGUCCGAUGUCUGAUCUCGGAAGCUAAGCAGGGUCUGGCCUGGUUAGUACUUGGAUGGGAGACCACCUAUGAAGACCAGGUGCUGUAGCAU